rnacentral:lncRNA from 1 species
ACAAGCCCUAUCAUAAUUUAAUUUAAUUAAUAUUUUGUAAUACUGACCGCGCAUCGCGCGGGUAAGACUACUAGUUGUAUUUAAUACAGAUUUUCUAACGUUUUUAAUAUUUAAUGCUCAUUAAGUAUUGUAUUUGUACUUCCUUGUACUGUCAGGUUCAUUCUCCUGAAUCCUGGGAUUUAAAUAGAUACGAGCGUUGAGUCUACCCGUGCCUCUUUGCUAAUCAUAGAUCGGAAGAGCGAGGUUCAUUCUCCUGAAUCCUGGGAUUUAAAUAGAUACGAGCGUUGAGUCUACCCGUGCCUCUUUGCUAAUCAUCAUUCUUUGACCAACCUUCACGUCAUGACGUGUCAUAUUUAAAUACUUCAAUAAAUAUAAACUUA